GAUGAACGCUGGCGGCGUGCCUAAUACAUGCAAGUCGAGCGAACAGACGAGGAGCUUGCUCCUCUGACGUUAGCGGCGGACGGGUGAGUAACACGUGGAUAACCUACCUAUAAGACUGGGAUAACUUCGGGAAACCGGAGCUAAUACCGGAUAAUAUAUUGAACCGCAUGGUUCAAUAGUGAAAGACGGUUUUGCUGUCACUUAUAGAUGGAUCCGCGCCGCAUUAGCUAGUUGGUAAGGUAACGGCUUACCAAGGCAACGAUGCGUAGCCGACCUGGGAGGGUGAUGGGCGACACUGGGACUGAGACACGGUCCAGGCUCCUACGGAAGGCAGCAGUAGGGAAUCUUCCGCGAUGGGCGAAAGCCUGACGGAGCAGCGCCGCGUGGGUGAUGAGGGUCUUCGGAUCGUAAGACUCUGUUAUUAGGGAAGACCAAUUGUGUAAGUAACUAUGCACGUCUUGACGGUACCUAGUCAGAAAGCCACGGCUAACUACGUG
rnacentral:rRNA from 1 species